ACGAACGUUGGCGGCGUGGAUUAGGCAUGCAAGUCGAACGAAUCCCAGGGGGCUUGCUCUCUGGGGAAGUGGCGAAAGGGGCAGUAAUGCGUGGGUAACCUACCCCGGGACCGGCAUAGCCUCUCUAACGAGAGGGUAAUUCCGGGCGAUUUGGCGAGGGGGGCAUCUCCUUGCCAAGAGAUGAGUUUCGCCUCGGGAGGGGCUCACGUGCUAUUAGCUUGUUGGCGGGGUAACGGCCCACCAAGGCGAAGAUGGCUAGCGGGUGUGAGAGCACGACCCGCGCCACUGGCACUGAGACACUGGCCAGACACCUACGGGUGGCUGCAGUCGAGGAUCUUCGGCAAUGGGCGCAAGCCUGACCGAGCGACGCCGCGUGAGCGACGAAGGCCUUCGGGUUGUAAAGCUCGAAAGUACCAAGGAAAGCCGCAAGGCCUGACCGAGGGUACAGUAAGCACGGGCUAAGUUCGUGCCAGCAGCCGCGGUAAGACGAACCGUGCGAACGUUGUUCGGAAUCACUGGGCUUAAAGGGCGCGUAGGCGGGUCAUCAAGUCAGGGGUGAAAUCCUCCAGCUCAACUGGAGAACUGCCUUUGAUACUGGUGGUCUUGAGUGGGGUAGGGGCAUGCGGAACAAUGGGUGGAGCGGUGAAAUGCGUUGAUAUCCAUUGGAACUCCGGUGGCGAAAGCGGCGUGCUGGACCUCUACUGACGCUGAUGCGCGAAAGCCAGGGGAGCAAAACGGGAUUAGAUACCCCGGUAGUCCUGGCCCUAAACGUUGGGUACUAGGUAGUGGACUUCACAUGGGUUCACUGCCGGAGCAAGAAGUGCUAAGUACCCCGCCUGGGGAGUAUGGUCGCAAGGCUGAAACUCAAAGGAAUUGACGGGGGCUCACACAAAGCGGUGGAGCAUGUGGCUUAAUUCGAGGCUACGCGAAGAACCUUAUCCUAGGCUUGACAUGUGCGAAAGCGGUAGGAAGUAGCCGCGGAAACGUGGGGCGAACGGUAUCCAGUCCGGAACCUACUACAGGUGCUGCAUGGCUGUCGUCAGCUCGUGUCGUGAGAUGGUCGGGUUAAGUCCCAUAACGAGCGAAACCCUUGUCUUCAGUUGCCCGCGGGUCAUGCCGGGCACUCUGGAGAGGACUGCCGGUGUUUAAACCGGAGGAAGGCGGGGAUGACGUCAAGUCCUCAUGGCCUUUACGCCUAGGGCUGCACACGAUGCUACAAUGGCGUGAACAGAGGGAAGCAAACCCGCGAGGGGGAGCCAAUCCCAAAAACACGCCUCAGUUCAGAUCGAAGGCUGCAACAUCGCCCUUCGUGAAGCUGGAAUCGCUAGUAAUCGCGGGUCAGCAACACCGCGGUGAAUGUUGUUCCUGAGCCUUGUACACCACCGCCCGUCAAGCCACGAAAGGGAGGGACGGCCGGAAGUCGCGCUUUAAGGUGCCGACGCCGGACUUCCUGAUUGGGACU
rnacentral:rRNA from 1 species